AACGAACGCUGGCGGCGUGCCUAACACAUGCAAAGUCGUGCGAGAAAGUUCCUUCGGGAGCGAGUAAAGCGGCGCACGGGUGAGUAACACGUAGGUAACCUGCCCCCCAGUCUGGAACAACUAGAGGAAACUCUAGCUAAUGCCGGAUGAGACCACGAUCCCUUCGGGGGUUGCGGCCAAAGAUGGCCUCUACUUGUAAGCUAUCGCUGAGGGAUGGGCCUGCGGGCCAUUAGCUUGUUGGUGAGGUAACGGCUCACCAAGGCUGUGAUGGCUAGCUGGUCUGAGAGGAUGACCAGCCACACUGGGACUGAGACACGGCCCAGACUCCUACGGGAGGCAGCAGUGGGGAAUAUUGCGCAAUGGGACGAAAGCCUGACGCAGCGACGCCGCGU
rnacentral:rRNA from 1 species